UUGAAAAAUUCAAUGUUUUCUAGGGCCAAGAACUGAAAUGGAAUAUCAAUAUUUUGUUUGUGGAUUUUUUAUAGGUUGUAUCGAUGUGAAGAAAUAGUGUUUGUAGCAAGAAAAAGCUACAUGUAGCUUAAGCCCCAAAGUUAACUCCUUCUCACUGUAAGACCUUCUUUGCCACCUCAUUUGUAUUCUUUAUGAUUAUUUUGGUUGAAUAUUAAUCAAAAUUUGAUUUUCUUAAUGGAUAUUAUGCGUAGUAGGGUUGGGUUCAUGUUGAUUUUUGUUUUACCUAAACGUGUGAUGCUGCAGUUGUUUACCUUCUUUGCCCUGUAAGUGUUUGAUAAAAUUCCUCUUUCAGCUUUAUUGAGCAGCUUCCGCGCUCUUCUAUAUAGUAGAAACUUAUAUUUGGAAUGCAGAGUUGCACGAAGAAAGUUAAGAGAGUGCGACACCAAGUUAUCUUUGUUUGUUGAAUGACUAUAAGCAUAAGUAUAUUAAUCUGCAUAAUCUUUUGUUACGCUAAUUAAAAGCAUUUUGCUACCUCUUGCCUUUUCGUACACAAGUAUGCUAAACUUUGUUGUGAUAUAACAAUCCACCUACAGAUAUUUCUCAUUGCUUUUCAUGGAAUUUCAUCUACCUUUUAUUCUGCUAUAUGAAUAUCAGUACUUCUGUUAAUAUCAAUACUUCUACUGACUUCCGUAUCUUCUCCGUUGCUUCUUGAUUUCUCUCGAUGGUUUUGUUUUUUGUCAAUAUCAAUAAUUCGGGUGAAACUCACUUCAUCAUUGUACCGACUAUUCUUUUUAUUUACUUUGCUUCCUAUUUCCUCAGUAGCAUAAAAGAAGAAGUUGCAAAUAGAUCACAUCUUCAAAUGAUCAACCUUAUAUGGACUGGUAAAUUGUUCAAAGGUGGUGAUGGGAGUAUGGGACCGAGAAGUUAAGCCAAUUGAUUAUCAAAUGAAAAAACCAAAAAUAUUCAAUUCACAAAUUUGUAGUCUUUUUGAAACACUGGCCCUGAAGCUGAUUUAUGUUUCAUCCUUAAAGAUUAUCAUCAGCUUUACAAAUUGCUCUUGUACGCACAUGCUGCCCGGGUAUCUUGGAGACGUUUGAGCUAAUCACAUUUUCUAUGGAUACUUUCUCUGGAUAUUACUAAUCUCAGUAAACUUCAUUAUGCAUUUAUGGGAAAAUAACAUAAAAGUCUUGGAUAUUGGUGUCAUCUGAGCAUAUGUGGUUAUACAUGGCUUAAUCCUGCCUAGCAAAGUUAUAUAUAUACCUUUAGCCAGCAGGUGAUAUAUCUGUAUAGGGACAUGUAAAAGUGAUUUUUAAAGUCUACAAUGAGGAGCAGCAUAGGAGCUUCCAACAAUAUGGGACUGAUAUGUGGCAUUCCAAAUCUAUAUCGGAUCAUCUUUGUGUUCCUUUGUGUGUUUGUAUGAGUGUUUUGAAUCUCCUUUUGUAUUUUAUCUCCUUUGCGAAUUGUCAAGUUUGAAUUCGGUUGUGAACUUAGACAAGAGGGGUUGCUCUGAUGGUAAGCAACCCCCACUUCCAACCGAGAG
rnacentral:lncRNA from 1 species